CCGCUGCUUCUCUCAGGUUUCCAGGGAGAGGGGUCUGUAGGGACAGCACAUCAGUCGGGCAAAUGAGAAGCCCAGGUGCACAGAAUAGGAGGGCAGGCCAUUCUCUUCUCUGCUUUCCUCCAGUGCCUUCUGAACAAGCCGGCCUUUUCACCUGUGUUCUUCACCUAUCCAAGUCCUUCCUGUCCCCAGGGGUCUUGGCUUUCCCACUCCCCAGCCUUCUCAACCGGCUCAAACUGGCAUGAGCAUUUUCUGUCUCGAGGAAGGUCCUCUCCUGGCAAUGUAUUCUUUCUUUUUAAUGCUCCAGUUCUCUCUUUCCCUUCUGAUCCUGAUUCCUCAGAUGUGUAGGCUGUGCGACUUCCCUGGUGGUGCAGUAGUGAAGAAUCUGCCUGCCAAUGCAGGGGACACAGGUUUGAUCCCUGCUCAGAGAAGAUCCCACAUGCCGCAGAGCAACUAAGCCUGUGCGCCACAACUACUGAGCCUGCACUGUGGACCCCGCGAGCCACAACUACUGAGCCUGUGUGCCUAGAGCCCAUGCUCCGCAACAAGAGAAACCACCGCAGUGAGAAGCCCGUGCACCGCAAGAAAGAGCAGCCCCCGCUCGCCGCAACUAGAGAAAGCCCGCGCGCAGCAACGAAGACCCAACGCAGCCAAAAAUCAAUCAGUCAAAUAAAUAAAUUUAAAAAAAAAACAGCUGCAACAAUGUACUGAAAGUAACUACUAAGUGUAUGCUCUCAGACACUAGAUCUUGAGCAACAACUUAUUUUAGAGAAUUUGGAUCUUUCCAGGGAAUCCCUUCAAUCUGCCGAGGUCCUGCGAGAGGAAGCCUGUGGCAUCCUGGAUGAAAUGAACCACAAACUGCGUCUGGGAGCCAUUCGGUUCUGUGCCUUUGCCCUGAGCAAAAUAUUUAAACAAAUUUUCUCGAAAGUGUGUGUAAAUGAAGAAGGUAUUCAGAAACUACAGCGAGCCAUCCAGGAGCAUCCUGUUGUUCUGUUGCCCAGUCAUCGAAGUUACAUUGACUUUCUGAUGCUGUCUUUUCUUUUAUACAACUACGACUUACCUGUGCCGGUCAUAGCAGCAGGAAUGGACUUCCUAGGAAUGAAGAUGGUUGGUGAGCUGCUGCGAAUGUCGGGGGCGUUCUUCAUGCGGCGGACCUUCGGUGGCGAUCAGCUCUACUGGGCGGUGUUCUCUGAAUAUGUGAAAACUAUGUUACGGAAUGGUUAUGCUCCUGUUGAAUUUUUCCUCGAAGGGACAAGAAGCCGCUCCGCCAAGACACUGACUCCAAAAUUUGGUCUUCUGAAUAUUGUGAUGGAACCGUUUUUUAAAAGAGAAGUUUUUGAUACCUACCUUGUUCCAAUCAGCAUCAGUUACGAUAGGAUAUUGGAAGAAACUCUGUAUGCUUAUGAGCUCCUAGGGGUUCCUAAGCCGAAAGAAUCUACAACUGGAUUGUUGAAAGCCAGGAGGAUUCUCUCUGAAAAGUUUGGAAACAUUCAUGUGUACUUCGGAGACCCUGUGUCACUUCGAUCUCUGGCAGCUGGGAGGAUGGGUCGGAGCCCGUAUAACUUGGUUCCAAGAUAUAUUCCUCAGAAACAGUCGGAGGACAUGCAUGCCUUUGUCACUGAAGUUGCCUACAAAAUGCAACUCCUGCAAAUUCAAAACCUGGUUCUGAGCCCGUGGCCACUAAUAGUUGCUGUUCUGCUUCAGAACCGGCCAUCCAUGGACUUCGAUGCCCUAUUGGAAAAGACUUUAUGGCUGAAAGGCUUAGCCCAGGCCUUCGGGGGCUUUCUCACUUGGCCUGAUAAUGAACUUGCUGAAGAAGUGGUCCAGUCCAGCCUUCUUCUGCAUUCCAACAUCGUCAGCCUCGUCAAAGACCGGGUGACUCUGAAAGUGGACUCUGGAGGCCCAGAAGUGGUCGAUGGGCUUGUCUUCCAGCACGUCACUCUGCUCGUGUGCUCGGCUUACAGGAACCAGCUGCUCAACGUUUUUGUCCGUCCUUCCUUAGUAGCUGUGGCAUUGCAGAUGACGCCUGGGUUCAGGAAAGAGGAUGUCUACAGUUGCUUUCGCUUCCUAUGCAAUGUUUUUUCAGAUGAGUUCAUCUUUCUUCCAGGAAAUGCGCUAAAGGACUUUGAAGAAGGCUGUUACCUGCUUUGUAAAAGUGAGGCCACACAGGUGACGACAAGGGACAUCCUAGUUACAGAAAAAGGAAAUACUGUGCUAGAGUUUUUAAUAGGACUCUUUAAACCUUUUGUGGAAUCUUACCAGAUAAUUUGCAAAUACCUCUUGAACGAAGAAGAAGGCCACUUCACUGAGAAACAGUACUUGGUGAACGUUAGAAUAUUCACAGGUCAGCUUCUCCAUCAAGGUGCCUCACAGUGUUACGAUGUAUUAUCCUCUGAUGUACAAAAAAAUGCCUUAGCAGCUUUUGUGAGGCUCGGUGUGGUGGAGAAGAAGAAGGUAAAUAAUGAUUAUAUAUUUACUGUGAAUGAACCUGCCACAGCAAAGUUAGAAGAAAUGCUUGAAUACGUGACCUUGAAACUCGAUUUUGAAUUUGGUGAGAGGGGCAUAAACUAAAACAAACCCCGAAGCCCUCGUGAGGACGACGGGAUUGAGUUCUUCCUCUCAGAAGGCAGAUACGUGGUAAGACACCAGUAGGAAAACCGGCAACUGCAAAGCUUUAAUGAUUGCCAAACGGUUACGGAAAAAUUGGUCAUAUAACUACUGUCAUCCAAGGACUCGUAUUACAACAAAGAAGGAAGCAAAGGAAGAGACCAUCUUCUCGUCCUUCAUAAGGCGUCAAGAACGGCGGGCUUAGUAGAGAGGAAGAGUGACCAAUUUAAGCAAUCCGUGAAAUCUCCACGUUGGUUAAAAAGGCAUUUGUGUCCAACUCCGUGUGUGUUUUAAAAUAAAACAGGCUUUCGGAAACAUGUUUGGAAAAACAAA